GAACCGACUAAUGUUGAAAAAUUAGCGGAUGACCUGUGGCUGGGGGUGAAAGGCCAAUCAAACCGGGAGAUAGCUGGUUCUCCCCGAAAGCUAUUUAGGUAGCGCCUCGUGAACUCAUCUCCGGGGGUAGAGCACUGUUUCGGCUAGGGGGCCAUCCCGGCUUACCAACCCGAUGCAAACUGCGAAUACCGGAGAAUGUUAUCACGGGAGACACACGGCGGGUGCUAACGUCCGUCGUGAAGAGGGAAACAACCCAGACCGCCAGCUAAGGUCCCAAAGUCAUGGUUAAGUGGGAAACGAUGUGGGAAGGCCCAGACAGCCAGGAUGUUGGCUUAGAAGCAGCCAUCAUUUAAAGAAAGCGUAAUAGCUCACUGGUCGAGUCGGCCUGCGCGGAAGAUGUAACGGGGCUAAACCAUGCACCGAAGCUGCGGCAGCGACACUCAGGUGUUGUUGGGUAGGGGAGCGUUCUGUAAGCCUGCGAAGGUGGCCUGUGAGGGUUGCUGGAGGUAUCAGAAGUGCGAAUGCUGACAUAAGUAACGAUAAAGCGGGUGAAAAGCCCGCUCGCCGGAAGACCAAGGGUUCCUGUCCAACGUUAAUCGGGGCAGGGUGAGUCGACCCCUAAGGCGAGGCCGAAAGGCGUAGUCGAUGGGAAACGGGUUAAUAUUCCCGUACUUGGUGUUACUGCGAAGGGGGGACGGAGAAGGCUAUGUUGGCCGGGCGACGGUUGUCCCGGUUUAAGCGUGUAGGUGUGUGUUCCAGGUAAAUCCGGUUCACUUUAACACUGAGGCGUGAUGACGAGGCACUACGGUGCUGAAGCAACAAAUGCCCUGCUUCCAGGAAAAGCCUCUAAGCAUCAGGUAACAUCAAAUCGUACCCCAAACCGACACAGGUGGUCAGGUAGAGAAUACCAAGGCGCUUGAGAGAACUCGGGUGAAGGAACUAGGCAAAAUGGUGCCGUAACUUCGGGAGAAGGCACGCUGACACGUAGGUGAAGUGAUUUACUCAUGGAGCUGAAGUCAGUCGAAGAUACCAGCUGGCUGCAACUGUUUAUUAAAAACACAGCACUGUGCAAACACGAAAGUGGACGUAUACGGUGUGACGCCUGCCCGGUGCCGGAAGGUUAAUUGAUGGGGUCAGCGCAAGCGAAGCUCCUGAUCGAAGCCCCGGUAAACGGCGGCCGUAACUAUAACGGUCCUAAGGUAGCGAAAUUCCUUGUCGGGUAAGUUCCGACCUGCACGAAUGGCGUAAUGAUGGCCAGGCUGUCUCCACCCGAGACUCAGUGAAAUUGAACUCGCUGUGAAGAUGCAGUGUACCCGCGGCAAGACGGAAAGACCCCGUGAACCUUUACUAUAGCUUGACACUGAACAUUGAGCCUUGAUGUGUAGGAUAGGUGGGAGGCUUUGAAGUGUGGACGCCAGUCUGCAUGGAGCCGGCCUUGAAAUACCACCCUUUAAUGUUUGAUGUUCUAACGUGGACCCGUGAUCCGGGUUGCGGACAGUGUCUGGUGGGUAGUUUGACUGGGGCGGUCUCCUCCUAAAGAGUAACGGAGGAGCACGAAGGUUGGCUAAUCCUGGUCGGACAUCAGGAGGUUAGUGCAAUGGCAUAAGCCAGCUUGACUGCGAGCGUGACGGCGCGAGCAGGUGCGAAAGCAGGUCAUAGUGAUCCGGUGGUUCUGAAUGGAAGGGCCAUCGCUCAACGGAUAAAAGGUACUCCGGGGAUAACAGGCUGAUACCGCCCAAGAGUUCAUAUCGACGGCGGUGUUUGGCACCUCGAUGUCGGCUCAUCACAUCCUGGGGCUGAAGUAGGUCCCAAGGGUAUGGCUGUUCGCCAUUUAAAGUGGUACGCGAGCUGGGUUUAGAACGUCGUGAGACAGUUCGGUCCCUAUCUGCCGUGGGCGCUGGAGAACUGAGGGGGGCUGCUCCUAGUACGAGAGGACCGGAGUGGACGCAUCACUGGUGUUCGGGUUGUCAUGCCAAUGGCACUGCCCGGUAGCUAAAUGCGGAAGAGAUAAGUGCUGAAAGCAUCUAAGCACGAAACUUGCCCCGAGAUGAGUUCUCCCUGAGACUUUAGGUCUCCUGAAGGAACGUUGAAGACGACGACGUUGAUAGGCCGGGUGUGUAAGCGCAGCGAUGCGUUGAGCUAACCGGUACUAAUGAACCGUGAGGCUUAACCUU
rnacentral:rRNA from 1 species